rnacentral:tRNA from 1 species
GCUGGCUCGAGCUCAGCAGUGGAGCACAGGACUUGCAUGCCCGAGGCCCUGGGUUCAAUCCCUGGAGCAGCA